UGGGCGACAGAGAGAGGCUCUGUCUCAAACACACACACACACACACACACAAUACAACAAAACAAAACAUAAAACAAUAGUAGACCAUUGAGCUGUGGAACAUACGAGGAAACUUACCCAGGAAGAUGAGGUUGUGAGUGGCUUAUUUUGGGAACUUCUGAAAGUUGCUGCCUAGGACCUGUGAGUGGAUAGCUCAGCUGGGCUCACAGUCUCCAGACUCACUCCACGCUCUUCAUAAAUCCAUCAAUCCUGAACCAAUUCCGUCCCAAACAUGCCCAAUCCUAACCAAGCCUGCUAAAGACUCACCUUAAGCCAGACCCCAACACCUUCCACACGCCCACCCUUAGCCCUCCUUCCCCUCAGACCCUGUGAAGACCCUCAGGCGGGUUCCGGCACCAGCUGUCGCGCCCCCUCAGACCCUGUGAAGACCCUCAGGCGGGAUUCCGGCUCCGGCAAUGGCGCCCCCUCAGACCCUGUGAAGACCCUCAGGUGGGUUCCGGCUCCAGCUGUUGCGCCCACUCAGACCCUGUGAAGACCCUCAGGCGGGAUUCCGGCUCCAGCUGUUGCGCCCACUCAGACCCUGUGAAGACCCUCAGACCCUGUGAAGACCCUCAGGCGGGUUCCGGCACUAGCUGUCGCGCCCCCUCAGGUCCUGUGAAGACCCUCAGGCGGGUUCCGGCUCCGGCAGUGGCCCCCCCUCAGGUCCUGUGAAGACCCUCAGGCGGGGUUCCGGCUCCAGCAAUCGCGCCCACUUGGCUGUGUCAAUGACCCGUGGCUUCCUGGCUGUCUGGGGAGCUAGCGCUUUCACACUUAAAGAGCAUAUUUCUAUAAAUAGUUAUACAUUUUGUUUGUUUUGAGACAGGGUCUCGCUCGGUUGCCUAGGCUGUAGUG